GUCCUUGUAUCAUCUUUCUCUGUUAUUACUGUAAUUGUGUGUGUCCUCUGUGUGCUCCUGCCAUAAACCCACAUGCAGUAUGGUGUUGCUCUUUGUGCACUGAGAAUUACUAUUUGUGGCAUUUAUAUAGCAACAACUUAUUUUGUAGCUCUUUACAAUAUUGGAGGAAAUUUAACAAAUAAGACAGGAACAAUUGGUUGAUGAGGACCCUGCUCAAACAAGCUUACAGUCUGAGUUAUACACCAGGAAACGCAUUUAGGCGUCACACUGUCAUGUCAUAUUUCGGUUUUUAAAUUGGGCUGCGCUAAUGAUUUUAGGAUUAUGUAAGGUUGUUUUUCUUAAAUAGUCUGUGCUGCUGUUAGCAAUAGCAUAUAACAAAACUCUGCAUUGCUGCAAUAAAUGUGACUUAGCUGAACAACACUCCAAGGUUCUAAUGCAAAGUUUGGAAAUAUUCCAGAGCUGAUGCCGAUACAGAUUAGUCACCUUUUGAGCUGAUAACUGGUGCCAAUAUUCUGUACAUUUA